UCUAAGAGACAAAUAAAGCCACUGUUAGAGGGGAGCAGCUGUCUGGAAGCAUUUCAAAAGGGAAACAUGGAAGCCCCUGCCCAGGUGUAACAGUCAAAGAAAACCCCAAAUUAACCGCCCGAUUCCAGUAGGUGUGUAGAGUGAGCAUACAUUUGAAAUACACUCAUCAAUCACAUUGCUUACUAAAAACAAAGAAGAAUACAAAGAAAAUAAUACUCUUUUUAAGUCACUAAAUUAUGGAUACCAUCACUUUCUUAGUUGGUAAGAUUCACCAGAUUAUCACAAUGCCUUAGCAUUUUAAAUGACAAUGAGUACAAAUUCAAAAUCAAAAGUAGACAGUUCAUAUUUUAAAAGAUAUCAACAUGUGAGAUAAACACAAACACUGCCUUUAGCCAAACCUUAAGACAAGCAUUUCAGGAGGGUCCAGCCCAUCCCCAUGUCCAAGGGAAUGCCCACAAACAGGCCUCAUACACUUAGAGUGCUGCUUCCCUGGUGUCUGUGGGCCAUGCCUGAGGUGUCGCCUCUUCUACAAAAGGCCAGUGGAGACUCGCUCAACUUUACACAGCCUGUUGACAGUCAACAAAAUGACAUGCUGGCUCUGGACUAACUCCGAGUCCCAGCAGGUGACCUGCCCAGAUGUAGUUCCUCUGGCUGAUUCAAAAUUCUAAUUCUGCUUCCUCAGGAGAGGCCUCCCUACUCCACAUAGAGAAAUGGUCCUGGACCACCUUCUGCAGCUUCUAGGACUUAGGAUGGCUCUCUCGUUCUGGCCAUCUACCCAGGAUUAUUGAGACAGCAUGCUGGGGACAGUGGUAACCGGUAAAUACGCAGUUUACUUUGGAUUAGGUUGUAAGACAAUCAAUAGGGAAAACUAGAACUAAGAUGGCAUUUUAAAGUGCUGAACCAUGAAGUCCGAGUCCUUGGUUACACACACUGGCUUUCAGUCGCUCUCCAAAGAUCCAACUAACCCACAUGGAUCUCAUCAGCACUCACAUCAGAGAAUCUAAAAUUCUCCAGUCUGCCCAGAAGGAGAAAACUCCUGCUUCCUAUCAACUCAGGGUAACCAAGAACACCACUCAUCACAACAUGUUUGGUUCCUUUGUGUCAUUGCGACCAUCAGCAAUCAGAACAUCACUUGUGCACGGGGAUGUUGAGUCUGGACUGUCUGCCCUGACAUACCCAUUCCUAACAGGUCAGAACAAAAUCUCCGUAUGCUACUCUGAUCGUGCAAGAGUAUUUUUUUGAGUCCCAAAACAUGAUCAUAAAACUCCCUGGGAGCAGAAAUAAAACUUGUGUGACCUCUAGGACCGAGGUCAGGGGCAUGUAGCAUUAAUACUGGGUAAGAUGGGACAACAUAGAACAGAGAGAACUAAUCUGUUUGUUGCAGUACCUUUCUGAUUACAGAUACGUUAGAGAAAGUUUAUUCCAGGAACUUUGAAUAGUUGCUUUUACUGAAUUAUGUUUUCAUGUGAUGCCAUCAGUGUAGUAAGAAACAUCCUAUGAAUUAGUCUCUGGGGUUUCCACAAGGAUGUUGGGUGUCCUUCAUCACAUCACACAGGUUGCUCUUUACAAAACCCCCAAAGGAAAGCUUGAUAAUAAACACAACACCAUGUGUUUUGUGCCUUGUGGUCAACUGGCGAGGCCUUGGCUUUACUCGCUGGCUGCCAAGGUGCACGGAGCCACUCUGGCAGGCCCCUCAGAGAAAGCACAGAGGUUAUUUUAGUCAGCAAGUUUGGUUUCAUUCCAAAAUCCACUUUAGGUCCCUACCUCUAUUCCUUUCUUUUUCUUCCUUCGUUUCCCCACUUUUAAUGUACAUUAUUUUAAAUUCAUCCUGGCAAGCUGCCUUAAAUUCAUUCUGAAAUGAGACAGGGAAGUUAUUUGUUUUAUAAUUAUCUCCCUUUCUCACAUGCCCCACCCAUGUACCAGGCACUGGAGAGACAGAGAUGAAUACAUGUGUUACCCUUCCUGCGCUCAAGGGGAACCCUUCCAGAAAG